GAGAAGAGCAGUGAGAUGAAGACAGACACCUGGGGGAUGCUAGCAUAUAAGUGGUGGGUGGAGAAAGAGAGGUCCUUGGCUGAGAAGGAACAGAAAUGAAUGGGACAAACUACGAAUGUGUAAUAUUACUUUGGGGGCCGUGGUGCACAUAAUCAACAUUGCCAAAUGCCCCAGAAAUGUAUAGGAAGACAAACAUUGGAAAACGUCCAUUGGAUUUUGUAAUUAGAAGAACACUGAUGGCCUUAACAGGAGCAGAAGCAGGAUCGCAGCAGGAGUCUCCAAAGAAUGAACAAGCCAGCCUUUGUGUUGUGUUUCCCGCUCUUCCCUCGAAGCGCUGGAAUGACUUUUGUGCUCCUGAGGUUGAAAGCAAGUUUCUGGGACACCAGGGUGCCACCUCCCUCCAAGGUUUUUCUUUGAAGUGGUUAUUUAGUUGAGAUCCCACAGAUGGUCAUUAAACAGCUAUGGGUGACUAUGUUCAUACCUGAGGAAGUGGAGACAGAACUGAUACUAAAGUUGAAGAAGGUGAGUGACAAGAGCCUGGGGGUGACUUUUCUGGAAUAAAAAAAGAGGCCAGUGGUAGCAAGUUGUGCAAGUGGCUGAAAGCCAGGCCCUUCCUUGAAGCAGUUCCUUGAAGGCAGCAGGAUCUCUGAAGAGGCGGCAUAUGGGUGUGAGGGGUCCUGAGCUCUCCAGUCGUGAGAACCUGGCCAUCUUGCCAGAGCUGGGCCCAGGGUGGAAUGAGGCGGAGUGGCGUGGGGAAUGGAGCCUCCAGCCUGAAAUGGAUUAUUCUGGCCCAGAUAAUAAACAGCUAAGCAGUGACUGUGAUAGACUGGAGAAGGAAGAUCUUUCCUCAAAUUUUCUGGACAAUUCUCCAGGGAUGUCUGACAGCCCCUGAAGAGAAGGGGUUCCAAUAAUGACUGCCAAUGAGUAUCGCCACUCUUGAGAGAGAAUCUUGAAAUUGAAUUUAAAAAUAAAAUAAAAUAAAGUGCAAUAUGACAUUUCUUGUA
rnacentral:lncRNA from 1 species